UACGGAGGGUGCAAGCGUUGUUCGGAAUUACUGGGCGUAAAGCGCGCGUAGGUGGCUUUUUAAGUCAGAUGUGAAAGUCCACGGCUCAACCGUGGAAGUGCAUUUGAAACUGGAAAGCUUGAGUAUUGGAGGGGGUAGUGGAAUUCCCGGUGUAGAGGUGAAAUUCGUAGAUAUCGGGAGGAAUACCAGUGGCGAAGGCG
rnacentral:rRNA from 1 species